UACGUAGGGUGCGAGCGUUAAUCGGAAUUACUGGGCGUAAAGCGCGCGCAGGCGGCUAUCCAAGUCAGUGGUGAAAGCCCGGAGCUCGAACUCCGGAACUGCCAUUGAAACUGUUUAGCUUGAGGACGAGAGAGGUGAGUGGAAUUCCCAGUGUAGGAGGUGAAAAUUCGUAGAUAGUUGGGAAGAACACCGGGUGGCGAAGGCGGCUGCACUGGCUCGUAUCUGACGCUCAGGCGCGACAGCGUGGGGAUCGAAACAAGG
rnacentral:rRNA from 1 species